rnacentral:rRNA from 1 species
AUUGAACGCUGGCGGCAUGCUUUACACAUGCAAGUCGAACGGUAACAGGCCGCAAGGUGCUGACGAGUGGCGAACGGGUGAGUAAUGCAUCGGAACGUGCCCAGUCGUGGGGGAUAACGAAGCGAAAGCUGUGCUAAUACCGCAUACGAUCUAUGGAUAAAAGCGGGGGACCGGAAGGCCUCGCGCGAUAGGAGCGGCCGACGUCAGAUUAGGUAGUUGGUGGGGUAAAGGCCCACCAAGCCAACGAUCUGUAGCUGGUCUGAGAGGACGACCGGCCACACUGGGACUGAGACACGGCCCAGACUCCUACGGGAGGCAGCAGUGGGGAAUUUUGGACAAUGGGCGCAAGCCUGAUCCAGCAAUGCCGCGUGCAGGAAGAAGGCCUUCGGGUUGUAAACUGCUUUUGUACGGAACGAAACGGUCCGGGCUAAUACCCUGGGCUAAUGACGGUACCGUAAGAAUAAGCACCGGCUAACUACGUGCCAGCCGCCGCCGUAAUAC